CCUCCUUCCUCCCCCCAGGGCUUGGCCCUUCGUGUUCACAGUGGACCUUGAUUUCAUGUGGACACAAUUAAGGCACGCGGUGAAUGCCAAGAGCCCAGCCCCUGCCCUCCGGACGCCGG
rnacentral:pre_miRNA from 11 species